rnacentral:lncRNA from 1 species
CUUUAACAGCCGUAGUUCUUUGAUGAGUUAUUUUUCCCCCUUUUUCUCUGCUUCUGUACUUAAAGAGCACUGGUGGUUUGUAAUGCUCCAGGCAUGGUUCUGUAAAGAUAUGACAAAACUGAAACUCCCUUACAGCGAUAUGAAAAAACUGCCCAUCUGCAGAUGGUUUCACCCUGACUUCAAGCUUCAAAUUCCCCCAUUAACCAGCAGGCCAAGCCUACCAAAACUAUCCAUCAAUGAAAACAGCCACCAUGAGGCUCUCUGAUGAAACUGGCAGUGUCUUAAACAAGUUGAAAGGGUAAAAAUACACUAUACCUGUGGCCUUAAAUAAAAUAACGUGUGUACA